rnacentral:sRNA from 1 species
AUGGAAUUAUCCGGGACUCGCGUCGACUAAAACCUUCUUCGGUAGAAGGUCUCAGCCAAGAACCCCCAGAACGGGCGGACUGCUAAUCCCGUCCUCUCCCUUGUCUUUCGCACCUUCGCCCUCUCGUCUUCUUCUUCCUCGCCUUCUCCUUCCUCGUCGCACCUUUGCCCUCUCGAUCGUCUUCAGCUCCCUUGUCGGUUUUCAGCCGCGUACUCUGCGUUCGCUACCAAAGGCCUCCUCAAGUGGGCGGAUUAGCACUGCGAGUGAAAUAUUGUCAUCUGUUUGGUUGCUCAGGGCCUCACCGUUAGCGGCUCCAACUCCACAUCCAGGCACCGGUCAAAUUCGAACUCCCACCAUCUCACUCCAAAAAGGGCAGCAACGCCUUGCCCUGCAACUCCAGCUCCAUCACCGACCACCUUCUUCAGCCUCCACCAACUUGUUAAUCAGAAGUCGCCGUGUGACCCAUGCUUGACACACUGCUGCUUGCACUGGUGGCCCUUGUGCCAUGAGCACAUGGAGAUGAAGGGAUAAACCCCAAAGAUGUUGGGUUUAGUCACACUACAGUAUAGCACUGGUGAAUUGAAGCUGCGGCUCCACUGUUAUUAACAGCCGUUAGCGGCGAUUGUUAGUCGCUGGGAGAAGGUGAAAUCUAUUGCUGAGCUACCUCAACUCUCUUCAGAACACAAGGCAGCCAGCAAACCACUGAAAGCCAAUUGCCGUAUACACUCAAAAUGUUUGCAGAGUGCAGGAAGUUAUGGAUUUUCUGAGUUCUGAAAGCGAAUUGAGAGUGCUGCAAAUCAGAAAUGAUGUUACACGAGGAUGUGUCUUCGGGGCCAAGGAAGCGAAGGACAACACAUUUUGUUGUGUAGUUAUUUUUGUAAAGGCUGGUAGUAUUGCAUUCGUUUAUUCUUUUUCCUCAUUAUUGCAAUAAGAAGCCCAAGCUGAAGAGAAAUAACAGGUUGAGUGAUAUGAAUUAGGAUUUGUUGUUGUAGGUUCUUCUUGGUUGUGUCUCAUUUUUUGUCAUCCAUUUCAAAUGAGCCCAAAAAGAAGGGACAAGAAAUGGGAGUGUAAAGGAAAACUAGAACAAGAAAGAACACGUUCUAGUUUGGUUUUGUUGUUUCUUUGUUUUAGUUUGUAGUUAGAAGUUGAAAUCUGGUUAUAAGAAUUGUGAGUGUAAAGGAUAAGUGGCUUAAAUUCACCUGUUAUAUUUUUUUUGGAAUUCUUUGUACCUCGGUUCAGAAUUGCUUAGGUUUCUGCUACUUUGGUGUUGGAAUGAAGCAAAU